rnacentral:lncRNA from 1 species
GCUUGCUGGGGCUGGGGAUUUAGCUCAGCGGCAAAGCGCCUGCCUGGCAAGUGCAAGGUCGUGAGUUCGGUUCCCGGUACCGGAGAAAAACAAAAAAACAAAAAUAUGCUUGGUGAUUAUUAGACUAUUAGUUUAUUAUGUAGAUUAAAUGAUUUCUUAUGCUCAUUUUGGCACGUCAGGAUUAGCAUUCUUUUUAUAUUUUAAAAGAAUGGGACUGAAAGGAUUUACUUUUCCUAGCAGGGACACAAUACCUGACACCACCCUUUAAAGGAGGAAUUGUUUAAUUGUGCUCGGUUUCAAAGGAGUCAGUCCAUGGCUGGCUGGCUCAAAGGUAGAAACACCAUUGCAGAGGUUUACCAGGGGAAAGCUGCUCCCCUUACCGCAGUGGAGAAACAGAACAAAGGAAACUUGGCAGAGAAAAAUGAGCCAGGGACCACAGGGAGUUACCAAGGCUGCAUCUCUGCAGCUCACACAGACACACCCAGAAAAGUGCUUCCCUAAACCCGUGGGCCUUUCUUAAUCCAGUGAAAUGGGCAUUUCAGGAUUAAGAGUCACAGAUGGACUUCUUGAUUCCUGAGUCAGUACAAAUUCUGCAUAUCUAAUUAAUCUAAGGCACUAAAACUUGUCACAUUCCUUUUGAGAACUCUGUAUGAUUCUGGGAUAUGUUCCACUUUAUUUGGGAACUUUUCUACUGUUUAGCAGAAUUUGUUCCUUCCCCAAUUUGAAACAAGAAGAACUUUUAAGUGAAUUCUCCAGAUGGAUCCUCUUGUCGCUGCGCUCGAUCACCACACAGAUUCCCACCUGGAUGUCUCCACAAUGUGAAUUCAAAGGUUUCAGCUGGGAGAAUAGUGGUGCGAGAGAGGGGCACGACUGGCUGGCCAUGGUCAGUGAUGGAGGUAUCGGGGCUGGCUUCCAGGGUCCUUGGGAACCCAAGCCAGGCUGA